rnacentral:rRNA from 1 species
AUUGAACGCUGGCGGCAGGCCUAACACAUGCAAGUCGAGCGAGCGGCGGACGGGUGAGUAAUGUAUGGGGACUGCCCGAUAGAGGGGGAUCACUCAUGGAAACGGUGGCUAAUACCCCAUACUAUCGGAUAACCCAUAUGGGAUGAGCUAGCAGGUGGGGUAAAGGCUCACCUAGGCGACGUUCUCUAGCUGGUCUGAGAGGAGGAUCAGCCACACUGGAACUGAGACACGGUCCAGACUCCCACGGAGGCAGCAGUGGGGAAGAUGGCACAAUGGGCGCAAGCCGGAUGCAGCCAUGCCGCGUGUAUGAAGAAGGUCUUCGGGUUGGAAAGUACUUACAGUCGGGAGGCGUGACCGAGAGAAGAAGCACCGGCUAACUCCGUGCCAGCGGCCGCGGUAAUUC